rnacentral:rRNA from 1 species
GACGAACGCUGGCGGCGUGCUUAACACAUGCAAGUCGAACGGAAAGGCCCUGCUUUUGUGGGGUGCUCGAGUGGCGAACGGGUGAGUAACACGUGAGUAACCUGCCCUUGACUUUGGGAUAACUUCAGGAAACUGGGGCUAAUACCGGAUAGGAGCUCCUGCUGCAUGGUGGGGGUUGGAAAGUUUCGGCGGUUGGGGAUGGACUCGCGGCUUAUCAGCUUGUUGGUGGGGUAGUGGCUUACCAAGGCUUUGACGGGUAGCCGGCCUGAGAGGGUGACCGGCCACAUUGGGACUGUGAUACGGCCCAGACUCCUACGGGAGGCAGCAGUGGGGAAUAUUGCACAAUGGGCGGAAGCCUGAUGCAGCAACGCCGCGUGCGGGAUGAUGGCCUUCGGGUUGUAAACCGCUUUCGCCUGUGACGAAGCGUGAGUGACGGUAAUGGGUAAAGAAGCACCGGCUAACUACGUG